AGAGUUUGAUCCUGGCUCAGAAUCAACGCUGGCGGCGCGCUUAACACAUGCAAGUCGAGCGAGAAAGGGGCAACCUGAGUACAGCGGCGUACGGGUGAGUAACACGUGGAUCAUCUACCUUUUAGUGGGGAAUAACUCUGGGAAACCGGAGCUAAUACCGCAUAAUCCUGUGAAGGGAAAGCAGCAAUGCGCUGAAAGAG
rnacentral:rRNA from 1 species